AAGUAGAUGACCUGACUGAAGCUGUGGCUGCAAAGGAUUCCCAGCUGGCUGUACUGAAAGUGAGACUCCAGGAAGCUGACCAGCUACUGAGUACUCGCACAGAAGCAUUAGAAGCCUUACAGAGUGAAAAAUCACGAAUAAUACAGGAUCAAAGUGAAGGUAAUAGCCUGCAGAAUCAAGCUCUGCAGACUCUUCAGGAGAGACUGCAUGAAGCGGACGCCACUCUGAAGAGAGAGCAGGAGAGCUAUAACCAGAUGCAGGUUAGAAUGGGGGACAGCAGAUUCCUGUUGUUACUUGGACACGGAAAAAAUGACUUUAUGCUGUUUCAUAGCACGUUAACUCUUUAAUACAAUUCUGCAAUGCAUUUCAGAGAAUUCUGUUUCUGUGACAACAAUCAGAUAUUUGAAAAUUUAGCUUGAUCCUUGCUAAAUGUAUUUAAUUUUAUGUGUUGAGACAAUUAAAAUAGUUAAGGUGCAUUAGAGAUAUACAUCUUUGACUUAAUUUUUGCAACAAUCAUUGUCAUUAUUUGAUUAAAUGCUAAUGUUUGGGGGAUCGUAUUUGUUUUUUAUUAAUUUAAGCUUUUUC
rnacentral:sRNA from 1 species